rnacentral:pre_miRNA from 1 species
GAUGUACUCCCUCCGUCCGGAAAUACUUGUCAUCAAAAUAGACAAAAAGGGAUGUAUCUAGAACUAAAAUACAUCUAGAUACAUCCCCUUUUAUUGAUUUUGAUGACAAGUAUUUCCGGACGGAGGGAGUAGCAG